GUUUGAUCAUGGCUCAGAACGAACGCUGGCGGCAGGCUUAACACAUGCAAGUCGAACGCCCGUAGCAAUACGGGAGUGGCGGACGGGUGAGUAACGCGUGGGAACGUACCCUGAGGUACGGAAUAACCGAGGGAAACUUCGGCUAAUACCGUAUGAGCCCCGCAAGGGGGAAAGAUUUAUCGCCUUGGGAGCGGCCCGCGUCGGAUUAGCUAGUUGGUGGGGUAACGGCCUACCAAGGCUUCGAUCCGUAGCUGGUCUGAGAGGACGAUCAGCCACACUGGGACUGAGACACGGCCCAGACUCCUACGGGAGGCAGCAGUGGGGAAUCUUGCGCAAUGGGGGCAACCCUGACGCAGCCAUGCCGCGUGAACGAUGAAGGCCUUAGGGUUGUAAAGUUCUUUUACCCGUGACGAUGAUGACGGUAACGGGGGAAUAAGCUCCGGCUAACUUCGUG
rnacentral:rRNA from 1 species